GAUGAACGCUGGCGGCGUGCCUAAUACAUGCAAGUCGAGCGAACGGACGAGAAGCUUGCUUCUCUGAUGUUAGCGGCGGACGGGUGAGUAACACGUGGAUAACCUACCUAUAAGACUGGGAUAACUUCGGGAAACCGGAGCUAAUACCGGAUAAUAUUUUGAACCGCAUGGUUCAAAAGUGAAAGACGGUCUUGCUGUCACUUAUAGAUGGAUCCGCGCUGCAUUAGCUAGUUGGUAAGGUAACGGCUUACCAAGGCAACGAUGCAUAGCCGACCUGAGAGGGUGAUCGGCCACACUGGAACUGAGACACGGUCCAGACUCCUACGGGAGGCAGCAGUAGGGAAUCUUCCGCAAUGGGCGAAAGCCUGACGGAGCAACGCCGCGUGAGUGAUGAAGGUCUUCGGAUCGUAAAACUCUGUUAUUAGGGAAGAACAUAUGUGUAAGUAACUGUGCACAUCUUGACGGUACCUAAUCAGAAAGCCACGGCUAACUACGUGCCAGCAGCCGCGGUAAUACGUAGGUGGCAAGCGUUAUCCGGAAUUAUUGGGCGUAAAGCGCGCGUAGGCGGUUUUUUAAGUCUGAUGUGAAAGCCCACGGCUCAACCGUGGAGGGUCAUUGGAAACUGGAAAACUUGAGUGCAGAAGAGGAAAGUGGAAUUCCAUGUGUAGCGGUGAAAUGCGCAGAGAUAUGGAGGAACACCAGUGGCGAAGGCGACUUUCUGGUCUGUAACUGACGCUGAUGUGCGAAAGCGUGGGGAUCAAACAGGAUUAGAUACCCUGGUAGUCCACGCCGUAAACGAUGAGUGCUAAGUGUUAGGGGGUUUCCGCCCCUUAGUGCUGCAGCUAACGCAUUAAGCACUCCGCCUGGGGAGUACGACCGCAAGGUUGAAACUCAAAGGAAUUGACGGGGACCCGCACAAGCGGUGGAGUAUGUGGUUUAAUUCGAAGCAACGCGAAGAACCUUACCAAAUCUUGACAUCCUUUGACAACUCUAGAGAUAGAGCCUUCCCCUUCGGGGGACAAAGUGACAGGUGGUGCAUGGUUGUCGUCAGCUCGUGUCGUGAGAUGUUGGGUUAAGUCCCGCAACGAGCGCAACCCUUAAGCUUAGUUGCCAUCAUUAAGUUGGGCACUCUAAGUUGACUGCCGGUGACAAACCGGAGGAAGGUGGGGAUGACGUCAAAUCAUCAUGCCCCUUAUGAUUUGGGCUACACACGUGCUACAAUGGACAAUACAAAGGGCAGCGAAACCGCGAGGUCAAGCAAAUCCCAUAAAGUUGUUCUCAGUUCGGAUUGUAGUCUGCAACUCGACUACAUGAAGCUGGAAUCGCUAGUAAUCGUAGAUCAGCAUGCUACGGUGAAUACGUUCCCGGGUCUUGUACACACCGCCCGUCACACCACGAGAGUUUGUAACACCCGAAGCCGGUGGAGUAACCUUUUAGGAGCUAGCCGUCGAAGGUGGGACAAAUGAUUGGGGUGAAGUCGUAACAAGGUAGCCGUAUCGGAAGG
rnacentral:rRNA from 1 species